AGAAGAAGAACUAGAAAAAGCCAUUGUUUUGUGUGUUCAGUGGAAGUAUAGAAAAACUUGAUCUUAUAGAAGAACUCAAAACUUACAGAUGAAGUGUAGUAAAGAGAGAGAGUGUGAUGAGUGAGCAAGUUUAAGUGUCAGAAGAUUAGAAGAAGUGGGUUUGUUUUGGGAUUUGAAUUCUUUCUAUAUUUUAUCUUAUCUGACUAAGUUUGAUCGAGGUCAAAAGUUAAACCUUCUUUCUUUAUUUGGAAGUUUAAUUGCAGUCUGUACUGGUUUAAAUCUGCGUUUUGGGUAUCGAGGUUCAAAGAUUAGAAGAAGUGGGUUUGUUUUGGGAUUUGAAUUCUUUCUAUAUUUUAUCUUAUCUGACUAAGUUGGUUUAAAUCUGCGUUUUGGUUAUCGAGGUUCAAAACAUCACAAAAGGCUUAUUCCAACAAAUAAAUAUUCUAUAUUCAUAUAGAUCACAUAGAUAUUGACCAGGAAUUUAUAGAUUAAAACUGAUAAUCUGAUCCAAGGAAAGCAUAAGGAAAGCAUGUCUCCAAAAUUAAGCACUCUUAUUUCAUCACUUAUACUGUAUGACUUUGGUUUUUACAGAGUGGUGGGUUUGUCUACAAUUAGAAAUUUUGAUCCACAACCAGAUGAUCUGUUCCUUUCGCAAAACAAAUGCUUUUUUUAAAGAAUGAGUGGUCAAAACUCGCAGUAAUGUGAAAUGGCUUCCCACCCAAGACUGGUUAUGGCAGCAUGGGCAGUCCAAGCUUUACCGGUCUGAUCCAUAAAGCAAAAGAGAAAAAAAAUAACCUUUAGUAUCACAUCCAUACAUCGUUGGUUCUUCAGAAAAAUAAAAUAGCUUCUUUCAUCAUGAGGUGUAUUUAUGUCAGAGUCCAUAUUCCCAAUUCCCCAUACAUAUAAUAAGGUCAAUCGUGAAGAUCUAGUGUUUAACCCCAGCCUCCCUUUUCGAAAUAAGAUGCUGGUCAAUUCAAAAUGUUCGAGUAGAGUUCUUACCGCCAUUACCGAUGCUUCUGAUUUAGAACUUGCGGAGUUCUAAAAUUGACGACUUAGUCUAAGU
rnacentral:lncRNA from 1 species